GAUGAACGCUGGCGGCGUGCCUAAUACAUGCAAGUCGAGCGAACAGACGAGGAGCUUGCUCCUCUGACGUUAGCGGCGGACGGGUGAGUAACACGUGGAUAACCUACCUAUAAGACUGGGAUAACUUCGGGAAACCGGAGCUAAUACCGGAUAAUAUAUUGAACCGCAUGGUUCAAUAGUUAAAGACGGUUUUGCUGUCACUUAUAGAUGGAUCCGCGCCGCAUUAGCUAGUUGGUAAGGUAACGGCUUACCAAGGCGACGAUGCGUAGCCGACCUGAGAGGGUGAUCGGCCACACUGGAACUGAGACAAGGUCCAGACUCCUAAGGGAGGCAGCAGUAGGGAAUCUUCCGCAAUGGGCGAAAGCCUGACGGAGCAACGCCGCGUGAGUGAUGAAGGUAUUCGGAUCGUAAAACUCUGUUAUUAGGGAAGAACAAAUGUGUAAGUAACUAUGCACGUCUUGACGGUACCUAAUCAGAAAGCCACGGCUAACUACGUG
rnacentral:rRNA from 1 species